rnacentral:rRNA from 1 species
GACGAACCGUGCGAACGUUGUUCGGAUUCACUGGGCUUAAAGAGCGCGUAGGCGGCCAGAUAAGUCCGGUGUGAAAGUCACAGGCUCAACCUGUGAAUGCCGCUGGAAACUGUCUGGCUAGAGUCCGGAAGGGGCGAGUGGAAUUCCUGGUGUAGCGGUGAGAUGCGCAGAUAUCAGGAAGAACACCUAUUGCGAAGGCAGCUCGCUGGGACGUAACUGACGCUGAGACGCGAAAGCGUGGGGAGCAAACAGG